UGAUCUAUCAGUAUUCAUUGACUUCACUUUUUUUCUGAUGUCACUUGAUUCUCAGACUGAGUUCCAUCUAGAGUCAAGGUAGAAGAAUUUACCAGCAAAUCAUUCAUCUCAGAGCUCUGAUGAAAGCCAGGUAGUGGAGCAGCCUUACGGAGAGCACCACACGAUGAAGAACGAACAUCUCUUAACAACAGCCACAUGAGUGAGCUUAAAAACUGAUUCAGUCAAGCAUCAGUGAUUACAACCCAGUGUGAUACCGUGACCGUAACCUCCAGAGAGACCAAGCACCAGAAAUACCUAGCUAAGCCAUUCCCGACUCCCAAUCCUCAGAAACUGAAACCACAAAGGUUUAUCAUUUCAAGCUACCAACAUGUUAUUCAGCAAUAGAUGCUGGAUGACAACAUCUUCUUGCACAAGACAGCCAGUGCCUCUUUUUGUAAACAAAGUUUGACUGGCAUACAACCAUA